rnacentral:rRNA from 1 species
UACGUAGGGGGCAAGCGUUGUCCGGAUUUAUUGGGCGUAAAGAGCGUGUAGGCGGCUUGGUAGGUCCGCUGUGAAAACUCGAGGCUCAACCUCGAGAUGUCGGCGGAAACCACUUGGCUAGAGUCCGGAAGAGGAUGGCGGAAUUCCCCAAGUAGAGGUGAAAUUCGUAGAUAUCUGGAGGAACACCGGUGGCGAAGGCGGCAUCCUGGACCAACACUGACGCUGAGGAGCGAAAGCCAGGGGAGCAAACGGG